rnacentral:rRNA from 1 species
GACGAACGCUGGCGGCGUGCUUAACACAUGCAAGUCGAACGGUAAGGCUCCAGCUUGCUGGGGUACACGAGUGGCGAACGGGUGAGUAACACGCGGGUGACCUGCCCUGCACUUCGGGAUAAGCCUGGGAAACUGGGUCUAAUACCGGAUAGGACCAUGGUGUGGAUACUGUGGUGGAAAGUUUUUUCGGUGUGGGAUGGGGCCGCGGCCUAUCAGCUUGUUGGUGGGGUAAUGGCCUACGAAGGCGGCGACGGGUAGCCGGCCUGAGAGGGUGGACGGCCACAUUGGGACUGAGACACGGCCCAGACUCCUACGGGAGGCAGCAGUGGGGAAUAUUGCACAAUGGGCGGAAGCCUGAUGCAGCGACGCCGCGUGGGGGAUGACGGCCUUCGGGUUGUAAACUCCUUUCACCAUCGACGAAGGGUUUCUGACGGUAGAUGGAGAAGAAGCACCGGCUAACUACGUG